UCCUGGUUAACCCAGGCAGUCUCAUUAGAGUUCCCACCUUUACGUGUUGGCAACUAAUGAUAAGGGUUGCGCUCGUUGCGGGACUUAACCCAACACCUCACGGCACGAGCUGACGACAGCCAUGCAGCACCUGUGCAGCGGUCCCGAAGGAAGAUCCCAUCUCUGGGACUGUCCACUGCAUGUCAAGUCUGGGUAAGGUUCUUCGCGUUGCAUCGAAUUAAACCACAUGCUCCACUGCUUGUGCGGGUCCCCGUCAAUUCUUUUGAGUUUCAGCCUUGCGACUGUACUCCCCAGGCGGUAUACUUAACGCGUUCGCUACGGCACAGCCAGGGUUGAGUCCGGCUACACCUAGUAUACAUCGUUUAGGGCAAGGACUAC
rnacentral:misc_RNA from 1 species